rnacentral:rRNA from 1 species
GAAGGUGGCCUGUGAGGGUUGCUGGAGGUAUCAGAAGUGCGAAUGCUGACAUAAGUAACGAUAAAGCGGGUGAAAAGCCCGCUCGCCGGAAGACCAAGGGUUCCUGUCCAACGUUAAUCGGGGCAGGGUGAGUCGACCCCUAAGGCGAGGCCGAAAGGCGUAGUCGAUGGGAAACGGGUUAAUAUUCCCGUACUUGGUGUUACUGCGAAGGGGGGACGGAGAAGGCUAUGUUGGCCGGGCGACGGUUGUCCCGGUUUAAGCGUGUAGGUGUGUGUUCCAGGUAAAUCCGGAACAUCAAGGCUGAGGCGUGAUGACGAGGCACUACGGUGCUGAAGCAACAAAUGCCCUGCUUCCAGGAAAAGCCUCUAAGCAUCAGGUAACAUCAAAUCGUACCCCAAACCGACACAGGUGGUCAGGUAGAGAAUACCAAGGCGCUUGAGAGAACUCGGGUGAAGGAACUAGGCAAAAUGGUGCCGUAACUUCGGGAGAAGGCACGCUGACACGUAGGUGAAGUGAUUUACUCAUGGAGCUGAAGUCAGUCGAAGAUACCAGCUGGCUGCAACUGUUUAUUAAAAACACAGCACUGUGCAAACACGAAAGUGGACGUAUACGGUGUGACGCCUGCCCGGUGCCGGAAGGUUAAUUGAUGGGGUCAGCGCAAGCGAAGCUCCUGAUCGAAGCCCCGGUAAACGGCGGCCGUAACUAUAACGGUCCUAAGGUAGCGAAAUUCCUUGUCGGGUAAGUUCCGACCUGCACGAAUGGCGUAAUGAUGGCCAGGCUGUCUCCACCCGAGACUCAGUGAAAUUGAACUCGCUGUGAAGAUGCAGUGUACCCGCGGCAAGACGGAAAGACCCCGUGAACCUUUACUAUAGCUUGACACUGAACAUUGAGCCUUGAUGUGUAGGAUAGGUGGGAGGCUUUGAAGCGUGGACGCCAGUCUGCGUGGAGCCGACCUUGAAAUACCACCCUUUAAUGUUUGAUGUUCUAACGUGGACCCGUUACCCGGGUUGCGGACAGUGUCUGGUGGGUAGUUUGACUGGGGCGGUCUCCUCCUAAAGAGUAACGGAGGAGCACGAAGGUUGGCUAAUCCUGGUCGGACAU